rnacentral:misc_RNA from 1 species
AGCAGCCGCGGUAAUUCCAGCUCCAAUAGCGUAUAUUAAAGUUGUUGCAGUUAAAAAGCUCGUAGUUGAAUUUCGGGAUCAAUUAAUCGGUCGUGCCUCUGGUACGCACUGGUUUUAUUGGUUUCUCCCUUCUGACGAACCAGGAUGUCAUUAAUUUGGUGCCUUGGAGAAUCAGGACUGUUACUUUGAAAAAUUAGAGUGUUUAAAGCAGGCUAACGCUUGAAUACAUUAGCAUGGAAUAAUGAAAUAGGACGUUUGAUCCUAUUUUGUGGUUUCUAGGAUC